rnacentral:misc_RNA from 1 species
CAGAUAACGAAAUUCUCACAGAAGUCGCCACCGUCCCGGCAGCCGGAAAAGAAGAAGUCGAUGGAAGCUGCGAUUGAUCAACAGGAAUGACGAUCGACCUGGGGAAGAACGAAAAUGGGAAAAAUCGACGAAAUACUUCGAAUACCGAACCCUAGAUUUUGCUUUGGGGAUUGAAAAGCUACCAUGGAUUGGAUUCUACUCCAACCAUUUGCUUAACAUUCUUUGAAACCGAUUGAUGAG